GUAGCCCACCUCCCACCCGUGUUUACUGUACCUUAGUUGCUUCGGCGGGCCCGCCAUUCAUGGCCGCCGGGGGCUCUCAGCCCCGGGCCGGCGCCCGCCGGUGACACCACGAACUCUGUCUGAUCUAGUGAAGUCUGAGUUGAUUGUAUCGCAAUCAGUUAACAAUGGAUCUCUUGGUUCCGGCAUCGAAGAAGAACGCAGCGAAAUGCGAUAACUAGUGUGAAUUGCAGAACCGUGAAUCAUCGAGUCUUUGAACGCACAUUGCGUGGUAUUCCCAUGCCUGUCCGAGCGUCAUUCCUGCCCAUCAAGCACGGCUUGUGUGUUGGGUCCUCGUCCCCUCUCCGGGGGGGACGGGCCCCAAAGGCAGACCGCGUCCGAUCCUCGAGCGUAUGGGGCUUUGUCACCCGCUCUGUAGGUUGCCGAACGCAAAUCAAUCUGUUGACCUCGGAUCAGGUAACCCGCUGAACUUAAGCAUAUCAAUAAGCGGAGGAAAUCUAUUACCGAUUGUUGGGUUCCCUAGGAGCCCCACCCGUGACUGUACAUAAAUUGCUUCGGGGGCCCGCCAUUCAAGGCCGCCGGGGGCU
rnacentral:rRNA from 1 species